rnacentral:rRNA from 1 species
GAUUGUAGUCUGCAACUCGACUACAUGAAGCUGGAAUCGCUAGUAAUCGCGAAUCAGAAUGUCGCGGUGAAUACGUUCCCGGGUCCUUGUACACACCGCCCGUCACACCAUGGGAGUCGGGAAUGCCCGAAGUCAGUGACCCAACCGGAAGGAGGGAGCUGCCGAAGGCAGGCUCGAUAACUGGGGUGAAGUCGUAACAAGGUACC